CAGCCCUCUGUUGGUGAUACCUCAGCGCAGAGUGGCACCGAGGUCUCCUUCCCAUCCUGGAGAGUUUCUCUGUAAUGGUAAGAAUCGCACAACUUCCAGACUCCGGAUCUUUGGCUGCAAAAGCAAGAUUAAGGGAGGGGCAGCUACAGCCCUACAGGGUUGUCAGAUGCUCCUGCUGACAGGCACCUCCCCAGCAGGUGCCCCCCGGGACCUCCACCCACGUGGCCUCUGCUCCCUGGAGCCACCCCAAUCAGCUGUCAUCGCCUAGCGAUGCAACGGUCUUUGCUGCAUGUGGAAAAAAAACCAGCAUCUGCUCAUCCGGGAGUCCGUCGCUGCCAUUGGCAGCAGUUCAAGCUGCCUGGUGAACUAAAUUGAUUUUUUAUAGCUGCUCUGGAGCGAGUUUAAUGAAUCCACUAGUAGCUGCACAGCGCUUAAACCUUUCCCUGCUCUGGAUCUGCAGUGACAGCUUUUAAUAAAAAAGGAGAAUAUUACUUAA